ACCUCCUCGCGCUGCGCAAACCAACUCCCACACGCAACCUCCGUCCAUCCACAAUUCAUCCCCAAUCCCAUCCACUCCAGCAGUCCCGCUUGUUUUUGUCUACGUACAGUUGCUGCUAGAGUGGGGCAGGCGACGACGACGGAAGAGCAGGUGCUGGUCGAUGAACUCGUAGACGGGCAUGCCGAGGAGGCGACCAGGGCUCGGCGGCAGAGGCAGAAGCGGAGGCGGAGAGGGGGUCUUCUUCGGAGGGCGCUCGAUGGGACCCACGUGGGAGCGGAACACAGCGGAGACCACCGCGUCGUGCACGCACCAGUGGAACGCCGGCUGGCGCAUGGCCGCCGCCGCCGCCUCGCACUCUGGGCACGGAGACGGGCGCCGCCCCGGGGACCACGGCGCCGCCGGAUCCUCGUGCUCCGGGUGCCCGCCAGCCGCCAGAUGGAGCCGGGCCUCGUAGUCGUCGUAGCCCCACCCGUCGAGCGCGAGCGGCGGGGCCGCGGCAACGGCGUGGGGGAAGGGAAGCGGCGGAGGGGGAGUGCCGACCAGGGACGCCAGAUCCGUUGGCGGGAGGCGCUUCAGGAUGGUCUUCUCCGCUGGCGCGCCCGCGUCCUUGGCUCCCUUCCUGUCGCGACGGGACCGGCCGCCCCGUCGCUCGCGGCGGGAGCGGCGGAGCCCAGCGACGACGUAGCACCCGCUGCCCUCCCGCGCGACGGCGGCGGCGAGGUCGGUGGCGUCGUCGAGGGGCACGCGGCGCGCGCGGCGGGGCCGCGCCAGGGACGCCGAGAUCUGGUACGGCGCGACGCCCACGCGGUCCGCCACCACGGCCUGCAGCCGCUUCACACCGCUCAGCGACGGCUGCACGGCGACCGUGCCCAGGUCCACGCUCUGCUCGCCGUCGACGAAGACCACCUGCAGCACGGCGGGCGGCGGGGGCGAGGAAGCCGCCGCGAGCUCCCCCAUGUCCGACGCGCGCGCUCCUUCCGGCUUCAGAGGCGGCCGAGCGCCCUCGGGUGAGUCGGGAUCCGGCUGCGACUCGUUCGCUGAUGGGCGGCCACAAGCAUCGAAUCGAAACGGCCACCCGGACCGGGCCUCCGUGUGUGUGUGUAGGGGGGUUGUUUGUUUGGGUUGUCGUGAAUUGGGAGGAUACAGGAGGGGUGGAGCCAGGAAGGGGCAGGGCGGGGGUGUUUUAUAGAUAGAGAUGAGGGGAGUUAAAGGCGGUUGGAUUGGGCGACCGGCGUAUAUCUAGUGGUAAUUCGCAUGAGGCCGAGGGAGAGACGAGAGACAGAAGCGGAGGGAACCGGCCCGGUCAUCUUUCCUUGGCAACCAAGGCAGUGAAGGGAACCUCAACCUGCAGCGUGGGCCCAGCUGUCUAAACACUAAGGCCAUGUUCCAAUCUCGUGAGAUAAACUUUAGCAGCUUUUUUUAGCUACUUUUAGCCAUUUGUAAUCUAAACAAGAGAGCUAAUGGUGGUAAUUGAAACUAAACUUUAGCACUUCAACUCAUAUAGCUAAAGUUUAGCAGGAAGCUAAAG
rnacentral:misc_RNA from 1 species